AUAAAGUUGACCCUUUGAAGAUCAAAUAUUACCAACUGAAGCUUGCAAUUGAGGGUUUAAGGGGGGAGGCAUAUUUAUGAGGUAAAUGUCUUAAUGUCCGUGAAUUCACCUCACUCUGGACUUAUGACUUGGGAAUUCACUUUGCUCAUUACUUAUGUCAGGAACUCCUUUAUAUGAAGAUGCAGACGUAGAUGCUUUGCUGGGGGUA
rnacentral:lncRNA from 1 species